GAUGAACGCUAGCUACAGGCUUAACACAUGCAAGUCGAGGGGUAACGAGAGGAAAGCUUGCUUUCCUUGUCGACGACCGGCGCACGGGUGAGUAACGCGUAUCCAACCUGCCCCCAACUAGGGAAUAACCUUGCGAAAGUAAGACUAAUACCCUAUAAUUUCCUCAGAUGUCAUCUGACGAGGAAUAAAGAUUUAUCGGUUGUGGAUGGGGAUGCGUCUGAUUAGCUUGUUGGCGGGGUAACGGCCCACCAAGGCAACGAUCAGUAGGGGUUCUGAGAGGAAGGUCCCCCACAUUGGAACUGAGACACGGUCCAAACUCCUACGGGAGGCAGCAGUGAGGAAUUUUGGACAAUGGGCGCAAGCCUGAUCCAGCCAUUCCGCGUGCAGGAUGAAGGCCCUCGGGUUGUAAACUGCUUUUGUACAGAACGAAAAGGCUCUGGUUAAUACCUGGGGCUCAUGACGGUACUGUAAGAAUAAGCACCGGCUAACUACGUGCCAGCCGCCGCCGUAA
rnacentral:rRNA from 1 species